rnacentral:rRNA from 1 species
UACGUAGGGUGCGAGCGUUGUCCGGAAUUAUUGGGCGUAAAGAGCUCGUAGGCGGUGUGUCACGUCGGCCGUGAAAACCUGCAGCUUAACUGUGGGCGUGCGGUCGAUACGGGCAUCACUGGAGUUCGGCAGGGGAGACUGGAAUUCCUGGUGUAGCGGUGAAAUGCGCAGAUAUCAGGAGGAACACCGGUGGUGAAGGCGGGUCUCUGGGCCGAUACUGACGCUGAGGAGCGAAAGCGUGGGGAGCAAACAGG